AAGCCAAGGAAGCGUUGCUAACGAUAUUCCGUGAUCCUGAAGUUUAGUGCAACCUGUAAAGCUUAUGUUACUGAUAUGAACAGAUAAGGCUGAUUAAAGUAACACUUUCUAAUUUCAGAAGGUCUACGGCUACUCUUUCCUCUCACAGAUAUACAUCGUGUUUGUGUUGUGCGGUGGAGUGUCUUGUGGGCUCGCGGCGUAGAAAAGAAAAUCUGUACGUUUGAACGGAUUUCGAAAUCGGGAGCGCUAGUGUGCUGAUAUGUUUUGUCCGUUUUGCGGGACAGCCCUGGAAAGAAAGUCGUCGUUUUGCCCGGAGUGUGGCAGAUCUUUGGGGUUUUUGCCACAUGAAAACUCGGACCUUUUGUGAUUUCAGAAGAAAAGAUGAAGCAGCGGCCACAUGCAGCUUAGGUGAAGGAAGGUCUAGCACUCUAUCGGAAUUUCUUUCAUUCAGAGACCAAAACCAAAAAGAGAGAUGCAAGUGGUCGAAAAAUAGGAAAAAACACGCAAAAGGUUCAUGUUGGAAUAAUGACUACCCGUAGUGGCGUACUGAAGAAGGAGAGAGGAGAACAGUUGGCACUGCGUGUUUCCAUUGUACUCCAAAAGACAACUUUUACAGGCAGCGGAAAGAAAACUGAGAACAGAUGAGCCACAGCAGCCUUUACAUUAUAAUGGGUCAAUUGUGGAUAAAGUACCUGGAACUGAAAAACCAUUUGUGUUACAAGAUUUUAAGGAUGCAAUUGGAAAGCCAUUUAAUAGACUUCACUUAUUCAUCUGCACUGAGAAAGAAUACAGUGAACUUGAUAAGACUGAAGAUCGUGAUAAUGAAGUAAUAGUUGAGCCAAAACAUUCUGAAGAAGACUCCUUGAAUGGCACACUGUUCUGAUCCAAACAAUAUGUCUGCGUGUUUCAGAGCUCAGCAAACACUACAGCCAUUAAGGCCAGCCAUGUGAAUUCACAGAACCUGACAGAUUCAUCUGAAAAACCAGCGAAGUUUGCUGACGGAGUGAAGAUGCCUCCAUUAUUGAAAGGGUCGCUGGUGCCGGUGCUGCCUGCCAUGCAGGAUUAGAGGUUAUCCUCCAUACCGUAUAAAGCAGUUCAUUUGUAAAUUCAAAGGGUACAGACAUGCAUUUCUGCAUAAGGACAUUAAUGGCGAUUAAUCAGAUUAGUUGGUGAAGGUUUACUGGACUCCGAGCCGUAGUGAACAACAUGUAUUGAAAGAAUAGUUCAACUUAACUGUGAAGUUCUUCUCCAAACAAGGCAACAAAUGACAAAAAUGAUACUUAUUGAAGAUGAAGAC